rnacentral:rRNA from 1 species
CAGUCGCCGCGGUAAUACAGAGGGUGCGAGCGUUAAUCGGAUUUACUGGGCGUAAAGCGUGCGUAGGCGGCUUUUUAAGUCGGAUGUGAAAUCCCUGAGCUUAACUUAGGAAUUGCAUUCGAUACUGGUUAGCUAGAGUGUGGGAGAGGAUGGUAGAAUUCCAGGUGUAGCGGUGAAAUGCGUAGAGAUCUGGAGGAAUACCGAUGGCGAAGGCAGCCAUCUGGCCUAACACUGACGCUGAGGUACGAAAGCAUGGGGAGCAAACAGGAUUAGAUACCCCGGUAGUCCCUGUCUCUUAUAC